CCACCCAAAUCACUUUCCAAUUGGGUCAUCAUCAACCAACUAGUUCAUUGCAGCUGUACCACAUUUGGGACUCCUAACAACAUGACAUCACAGGUCCAUUACCUCCCAUCACUUUAAUAGACAGGACACAAGGGUAAUUUUCAACUCCCACCCAAGGUUCGUCUCUUCAACCACCAGGAAUUUUCGCGGUAUUACCAAGUACUAAAUGCCUAAGGUCUCAUUAUUUUUAUGCAUAUACUCUCCUUUUCCUAAGUUCGUCUUUUUUUUUUUUUUUUUUUUUUGGGGGGGGGGGGGGGGGGGGGGGGGGGGUAGGAGGGGCUUUGUUUUGUUCUUUCCUGUCAACUGUACAAUACAAUAUUUCUAACCGGUGGCGAGGGGCCUUCCAGGUAUAGAACAAAUAUACGGGGAGAAGUAAGUUAGAGUUAGGAAUAUAUGGGGUAGAAGAGUCGGUUUUUGUGUACCCGUAGUUUACUUUCUCAGAAAUGUUCUUUGUGAAAAUGGAACUUAGUUGGGCCCUUUUGAUUGAAUUCAUAGCAAAGGUUGCUAAGUUCUUUUGCAAGAAUUGGUGCUCCACAGUAGAAUACUCCUGAUCCCAAAUGUCAAACCGAGAAGAAUCAGAUAAAGGAAAUUCAGUUGUUUGUCCUGCUUUUUAUUUUUUGAAGCGCACUCACCGAUUUUGGCACUACAAUGCUUCGAACAAAUUCUGGAGAAAACUUUCUUCCAGUUGGGCCUUGCAAAAUGAGUUCUUACCUGACCAGAUCAUGGAAAGUAAAGGGCCUUUCAGAAGUUGGAAAGUUUUUUAAUAAGAAACAAUUCAAUUUCGAUGAUAGUACGAAGAUGGGAAAUUAGCUAUUAUCAUUUAGAAAACUGAAUGUGCAAGAAGAACCCUUUGAUUAGUUUGAAACUCAAUUGGUACAUGGUACCAGAAACAAGAUGUACUCCAAAAUUAAGAAGCCAAACUUAAGUCUUAAAUAGUAGAAAUUUACCCUGGUGCCAGAAACAAUAUCCAUUCCAUUUUUUGCAUGAUUUAGUGCUUGGACCAUCGUAAUGAGGGCUGAUCUAGCGUCUCCUUCCUCGUACACACUGGUUAGGUAGUUGUGCAUCUCAAUGACACCCUGAGUUUCAAGUCACGAAGUUAAAAAAAUGAAUCCAUAUAGACAUGAUAGUCCAAUUAAAGCUCAAUAUUACCCUUUGAUCCAUCUCAGCGACUUCAUUCAUGACCCCUUUGAACCAGUCAAACGAUCCCUGCUCCCUAGUUACCCAGUAAAAGUAAGCAUUAGUUGUCUUCAGAAUCUUCUUUCGCUUGGGAGAAACUCUGGCAGACGAGGAAGAAUCCGUGCUUCCAAAACUAAGAUCUGACUCUUUACCCCCAUCUGCUAUUGAAUCCUGAGGAAGGGAAAGCUCAAAUAUUAUCGUAUGAGUGAUAUGUUUAAAGAGGAAAGGAAAAUUUGACUAGAAAAAUAUUUAUGCAUAAAACUAUGAACAAAGGUUUGGUUACUUAAAUAGGCAUGUAAUAGAUGAAAAAUAAGAAUGAUCAAGUGAUGCAUGCAGGCACUUACUGCCUGCUCCUCCAUUUUGACAAUGUUGUUAAGCAAAUCCUUCAAAAUGCUAAUGAAAGGUGUUGCUCCAAUACCAAGACCAACAAGUAAUAGAACAUCAUAAUUUCUGUAGUCUUGUGCAGGUGCACCAUAAGGUCCAUCUAUUAAGAGCUUGGGCAAACUGCAAAGCAUUGCAUGAGAAAUGGAUUCAUUAAGAAAAUGCCACAGAGAUAGAACCAGAAUUCGGAAAGAAAGAAGUUCUAAGAUGUACAAACCAUUUUUUGGUCGUUUCAUCAGCCCUGAGCAACCCACUCUUCCCAGCAACUGGUGGCUCACAAGCUUCAGCAAAUACCCUCUUUAACUCUUGUGUCCAAUCACCCAGCUGCCGUAUGUGAACACUCAGAUAGUCAUCCCCUGGAGCAGAAGUAAUCGAAAACGGAUGCCUGCAUGCAAAGACAAUAGACACCAUAGCACGUUAACUCUUAUUAAUGGAUUCUUGAAAAGUAGUGACAAGCUCGUGAUGAACUAGACAGAGCAUAAUGGACAAUUGGACAUGAAUACUAAAUUAGAUAUAACUAUCGAAUCAGUCGCUCCCAAGUUUGAUAACUCAUAGAAGCCAGCAAUUGAGAGUUAUAGUGAAGUUCAUUCGUUAAUAAUAUACAAAAGAGAAAUGCCAGCGCAAAGAUGAAAUUAACAGGACUUUUCUUUACAAAAUUAUAUUUCACAAGAGUUAUAAUAGUAUUUACCAUUCAAAUGGAGAGACAGCGGGGCAUUGGACAAACAUGUACUGCCCACUCUUAUAACGGAACUGAGGAGGUUUAGACAUUUGUAAUGCAAGAACAUUCCCCGGGUAAAUAGCAACCUAGAUAUAGAAAAAUGAAACGAUUGGAAGGCAAAGAAUUUGAACUCUAAUCCUGACUAGUUAGACAUGAAAUCAGAGUGAAAUAGAUUAUGUGGCAGUGGCAGUAAGGAUAGAAACCUUGAGGAGUCGAACACUGUAAAAUCCUGAGCGGAAGAAUCUAAGGGUCCUUUCCCCAGCAUAUAGUAAAAUUGGGACGGCCAGAUACAUCCAAGUCUGCAUGCAAUAAAGCGAUAACCUGAGCAAACAUUUCUAGUUGGUACAAAAUAAGUUCCAUGUUCAAUCAAUAGAUAAAGUAUUAGAAGGGAAGUAUCAUUCAUACUUACCGUCUUACGGUACCAUCUGUGUUCGAGGUAGAGGUAUACGCCAUGGAUGACGAGUAAGACGUAAACAAUGAAAAACAGGUGGUGUGAAUACCAGAAGGCAUUGAAACCCGUCAGCCUAUCAAACGGCUUGGGCAGCUUAAUCAGGCUCCUCCUGAACCAUCGGGUAGCUAGAGUGAAUGCUACUGUCAUCAAGAUGACCAUUAGUAUACCAGUCACACCUUCCCAUCCCUUAACCAAGUCUAGGUAGGUAGGCUUGUUUGGUCCGAAGUAAUCCGUCACAUAAUUAUAGUUUUCAUCUGAUGACUGUACGAGUCUUGGAAAAUCACAGGCAAGGUGGUUCCCUACAUGGAGAAUGACGCCAACUACAAUAGCUGCCGCAAUCGUCUGCAGGGCACAAAAUCGAAUUUAGAAAUCUCACAUACUUGAUAUUGUAUAUUUCACGUACUCUCCUAAGACAAGCUAAAUUCAGGACAUCCAAAAAUUACAUUCAUUUUUCUCCUCCCGGUUUACUUUCUAUAGUCACUUUGUCAUUUGCCCUUGAAAACUAGUAAAAAGACUCAUAUUUUUCAACCUACUCAAUCAUCAAACUAGUUUUUCACGUAAACUCUUCUUUUUUCAAUCUUGUAAAAUAUUUUGAGUUUUUCUAUUGUGAUAGGGUAGUUGGGGUAAGAUGAGUGACUAUGCACGGUUAAAUGAUAAUGCUUUAUUUAAGAAACACACGAGGUUGACCACUAAACUAAAAGUCUUCCUGAAUAAAGCCAAGCAAUUGUGAGGGAAUUUAUAAGUGAGGAAUCUGAUUAGUGUGUACCUUAUGAAAAUUGAUAUUGUCGUCGAAUGGUACAAAAAAUCCCAGCCUGGUCGACCUUAUCCAAGUGAUGGUAUUUCUACAUACGGGCAGCAAAAUGAUAGCCAUGUUGAACUUCAGGGUCUCAGCCGCACCCUUAGCCGUUAGGAGACAGUAACCCAUGACCUUGUAGGCUUGCUUAUGCUUGUACUGGAAGAACUUCCACGUGAAAAGCCCAACCAAUAUCAUGAUCCAUAACGUCAGCACCCAUAUUCUCCUCCAAUUCUCCUGCAAAUAGUAGAGCAGUUUUGUUCUUAUCCUUGUUAUGGGGCCUUUGUUCCUUAGUCCCUGUAUGUUCUGGCUCAAUGCUUGGCUGGUAUAGCUGAGGGCUUGACUGUAGUUCAGAUACGUAUCCUUUUGUAGCAAAAGGGUUUCCAAUUGCCACAGCUGCACCACCAUAAUCAACACAAAGAUUGAAAAUUCGUAAAUAUUUAAAUCAUAUGAUAAAAGGGGUAUUUGAGAUGAUCUGAAUCUUGGACAAAACCCGUUGUUAUUAAUGUUUCAAAGCGCCAAGUUUUUCUUUUGAUCUGCAAACCAUAGGGGGUAUCUUGGCACCAAUUUACAAUAUAGCAAUAUUAUGGACUCACGUUCCUCAGUAAGUUAACCAUCGUUUACCCAUCAACCCUAUGAUUACUGACAAAAUUCCAUUUACAAGCCAAAAAUAAAAAGAGUAACAUUUGGGCACAUCAUAAUAGACUACACCUAUUAAUUUUGUGGAGACCACUUCAAUCAAAAAAUAAAAAAAGAAAAACUCAAAAUAUGAAAAAGAAAGAAAACAAAGAGUCUGUCACGUAGUAAAUUGAGGUAGGAUAAUUGAACAAGCUGCACAAAUGAGUCGAUACAAAUACCAUCAACAGAAUAUUUUUCAAAUAAAAAUGGUAAAACUAGCCAACUUAACCACAACUCAACUAGUCAAUGCAAAUACCAUCAACUAAGAAGUAGGUUCAAGCUCUCACUGACCACUGUUAACUCAAAUUACUAGAUCUUUCAAUGUGUACAGUACAAGGGAUUUGGGCAAGGCAACCAACUCUGCUUCAAAGUAAUUCAUGUCAAUAAUGUGUGUUAUAGGCUCCUAAAAAUGUUAAUCUUGACUAAAGAGACACAAAGAAUCAUACUGUUCAGCUACCAAAAAUACUCACGUAGGACAACCAACCUAAUACAUGUUAAUAACCUAUGUUAUAGGCUGCUAAUGAAUGUUAAUGACUAAAGAGAUACAAAGAACCAUACUGUUUACUCACGGGCACGAGAUGAGCAAAUUUGUCAACAAUGAUAGAGUCAAUUAUUAUGCGGUGUGCUCCGUCUACUUAAUAUUAUUGAAAAAUGGCUAGGGCUCAAGAGUAGCACAGAAGACUUGAGUACUGUUUGAGAGUGCUUUUUGGAGAAACCGUUGUAUUUGAGAAUUAUUUCAAUUAUUCAAGGAUUUUAUUGAGUACUUAUUCUUAUUAUUUGUCCCCACUUAUUUGUUGUUUUGAUGGGCAUUUGAAUAUUCAUUUUCAAAUCAAACGCAAUUUUGAAAUACAAAACCAAUAAACAAAAGUUCAGCAUCCAAACACGUCUUGUUGAAAAAAUAAAAUUCUGUUUUAAGAAGUCAACUAUAAUUGCUUACAGCAUCUUUGAACAGUCUGACAUACACCAAGUUCUUCACCGGGGUCGGUGGAAAUAUUUUUCUUUUCCUUUGAGAUAAAUGGGUGUGUUUCUUAAACUAACGUUGUAAGAAAAUAUACUUCAUUUGAUAAUAUUUUUAUAUUUUGAAGGAAAAUACUAUUUUUUUUGGGUAAUAAAAGAAAAUACUCG
rnacentral:lncRNA from 1 species